GAGGGUGUAGCGCAGUGGAAGAGCGCAUGCUUAGCAUGCACAAGGUCCUGGGUUCAAUCCCCAGGCCCUCC
rnacentral:tRNA from 1 species